rnacentral:tRNA from 1 species
GGGGCCGUAGCUCAGCCGGGAGAGCGCGUCGUUCGCAAUGACGAGGUCAGGGGUUCGAUCCCCCUCGGCUCCACCA